UGUUUAAUAUAUAAGGAGGAUUAUAUGAAUGAAAAUGAAAGUUUCUGGCGGUUAAUUGUUAUUUAGAGGAGCUUGUUAUUUUUGAUAAGAAUUUACUCUUUAUAUUUUAUAUGUAAAAAGUUUAUUCAUCUCCGUUAUUAGAUAUUUAUCAGUAAAAUUUAUUUUAAAAUUUCAGGUCUAGAUGUAGCAUUUAUUUUAGAUAAUUAGCUACAGUUGUAGAAUAAUGGAUUUUUGUUUUAAAUCAAAAGGAAAGUGAAUUUGAUUGUAAUUUUGGUUACAAGGCUAGGAUGAAUCAUUAUAAUUA
rnacentral:rRNA from 1 species